rnacentral:rRNA from 1 species
AACGAACGCUGGCGGCAGGCUUAACACAUGCAAGUCGAGCGCCCCGCAAGGGGAGCGGCAGACGGGUGAGUAACGCGUGGGAACGUACCUUUUGGUUCGGAACAACUCCGGGAAACUGGAGCUAAUACCGGAUAAGCCCUAACGGGGAAAGAUUUAUCGCCGAAAGAUCGGCCCGCGUCUGAUUAGCUAGUUGGUGAGGUAACGGCUCACCAAGGCGACGAUCAGUAGCCGGUCUGAGAGGAUGAUCAGCCACACUGGGACUGAGACACGGCCCAGACUCCUACGGGAGGCAGCAGUGGGGAAUAUUGGACAAUGGGCGCAAGCCUGAUCCAGCCAUGCCGCGUGAGUGAUGAAGGCCUUAGGGUUGUAAAGCUCUUUUGUCCGGGAAGAUAAUGACUGUACCGGAAGAAUAAGCCCCGGCUAACUUCGUG